AAUCCUGGCUCAGGACGAACGCUGGCGGCGUGCUUAACACAUGCAAGUCGAACGGGGCAUAGAGAUAUGCCUAGUGGCGGACGGGUGAGUAACACGUGAGCAACCUAUCCUAUACAAUGGGAUAACACAGAGAAAUUUGUGCUAAUACGGUAUAAGACCACACUCCGGCAUCGGAGAGGGGUAAAAGCUGAGGCGGUAUAGGAGGGGCUCGCGGCCCAUUAGCUAGUUGGAGAGGUAACGGCUC
rnacentral:rRNA from 1 species